rnacentral:rRNA from 1 species
AGAGUUUGAUCCUGGCUCAGGAUGAACGCUGGCGGCGUGCCUAAUACAUGCAAGUCGAACGGAGCAGCAAUGCUUAGUGGCGACCGGGUGCGUAACACGUAGUCGACCUGCCCGCGCGCGGGGGAUAACAGUCCGAAAGGGCUGCUAAUACCGCAUACAUUCGAGGUUUCCAGAAAGCCUUGAAGAAACUUCCGGGGCGCGCGGAGGGGGCUGCGGCCCAUCAGGUAGUUGGUGCGGUAACGGCGCACCAAGCCAACGACGGGUAGGGGGCCUGAGAGGGUUACCCCCCACACUGGGACAGACACACGGCCCAGACUCCUACGGGAGGCAGCAGUAAGGGAUAUUGCGCAAUGGGCGAAAGCCUGACGCAGCAACGCCGCGUGGAGGAUGAAGGCUUUCGGGUUGUAAACUUCUUUUAUCAGGGACGAGCAAGGACGGUACCUGAUGAAUCAGUCUCGGCUAACUACGUGCCAGCAGCCGCGGUAAAACGUAGGAGGCGAGCGUUAUCCGGAUUUACUGGGCUUAAAGGGUGUGCAGGCGGGUUGGUAAGUGGUGCAUGAAAGCCGCGCGCUCAACGUGCGGAGGCUGUGCCAGACUGCCAGUCUAGAGGGUGCUAGAGGGACGUGGAAUUCCGGGUGUAGUGGUGAAAUGCGUAGAGAUCCGGAGGAACACCAGAGGCGAAGGCGACGUCCUGGGGCAUACCUGACGCUCAGACACGACAGCAUGGGGAGCGAACGGGAUUAGAAACCCCGGUAGUCCAUGCCGUAAACGAUGGAUGCGAGGCGCUAGGCGGUUAAGCCCGCUUGGUGUCGGAGGGAAACCGGUAAGCAUCCCGCCUGGGGAGUACGGUCGCAAGGCUAAAACUCAAAGGAAUUGACGGGGGCCCGCACAAGCAGCGGAGCGUGUGGUUUAAUUCGA